rnacentral:rRNA from 1 species
AUGGGAAUAUGGCAGCUGUGUAAUGCAAUAGAGGGAAUAGGAGAUUUUAUUCCUGGAAAGAGUAAGUCUGAACCUGAUCCUAUGAUGUGGCAAAUCUUGAUUCUUUAUGGUCCGGAAGCUGGAAGGAUCAACUAUAUAUUUGGUCGGACAAAUAUGUCUUUAUCUAUUGAUAACAGAGUGCAUGUGGGAGUUAAGAUUCCUGCUGAUCUUGAGCCGUUUGUGCUGAAUUACUUGAAACUUUCCAAAUGUGUUAUUGCUGUGCUUGAUGGCAAGGAUUUCUUCAUGUUAAGGGAACGACGCCAAGGAGUUUAUACCAAGUUUUAUUGGCGGUUCUGA